rnacentral:rRNA from 1 species
UACCGAGGGUGCAAGCGUUGUUCGGAAUUAUUGGGCGUAAAGCGCACGUAGGCGGUUUGUUAUGUCGGAUGUGAAAGCCCUUGGCUCAACUGAGGAAGUGCAUCCGAAACUGGCAGGCUAGAGUACGAAAGAGGAUCGCGGAAUUCCCGGUGUAGAGGUGAAAUUCGUAGAUAUCGGGAGGAACACCGGUGGCGAAGGCGGCGAUCUGGGUCGAUACUGACGCUGAGGUGCGAAAGCGUGGGGAGCAAACAGG